rnacentral:rRNA from 1 species
UUGACCUCGGGUCGGACAAGACUACCCGCUGAACUUAAGCAUAUCAAUAAGCGGAGGAAAAGAAACCAACAGGGAUUGCCCCAGUAACGGCGAGUGAAGCGGCAACAGCCCAGAUUUGAAAUCCGGCCCCGGCCCGAGUUGUAAUCUGCAGAUGAGUCUUCGGGCAAGGCGCCGUCCAAGUUCCCUGGAAUGGGACGCCGGAGAGGGUGAGAGCCCCGUACCGACGGCCGCCGCGCCUGUGAGAAGCUCAUUCGAAGAGUCGAGUAGUUUGGAAAUGCUGCUCUAAUUGCGGGGUAAAUCUCCCGUAAGGCUAAAUACCGGCCAGAGACCGAUAGCGCACAAGUAGCGUGAGCGAAAGAUGAAAAGAGCCUUGAAUAAGGGCGUCAAAAAGUAUGUGAAAUUGUUGUGGGGGAAGCGCUUGGCGCCAGACGUGGCGGCGGUUGGUUACCCGGCGUUCCUCGCCGGCGCACUCUGCCGUCGCCAGGCCAGCAUCGGUUCGGCCCGGGACACACUGACGCGAGGAACGUGGCCCCUCGGGGUGUUAUAGCCUCGCGGAGACGUCCCGCGCCGGACCGAGGAUCGCGCUUCGGCUCGGAUGCUGGCGUAAUGGCGCCCAGCGACCCGUCUUGAAACACGGACCAAGGAGUUGACCUAGCCCGCGAGUGUUUGGGUGUCAAGCCCUCACGCGCAGUGAAAGCGAACGCAGGUGGGAGCCUCGGCGCACCAUCGACCGAUCCCGAAGUUCACGGACGGAUUUGAGUAGGAGCGUGCUGGGUCUGACCCGAAAGAAGGUGAACUAUGCAUGAAUAGGGUGAAGCCAGAGGAAACUCUGGUGGAGGCUCGCAGCGGUUCUGACGUGCAAAUCGAUCGUCAAAUUUGUGCAUGGGGGCGAAAGACCAAUCGAACCUUCUAGUAGCUGGUUCCUGCCGAAGUUUCCCUCAGGAUAGCAGAGUUGAUCCUCAGUUUCAUGAGGUAAAGCGAAUGAUUAGAGACUCGGGGGCUACAUACUGCCUUCAUCUAUUCUCAAACUUUAAAUAUGUGAGAAGCCUCGUGUUACUUCGGUGAACGCAGGCCUUUGAAUGAAUCAACUCUAGUGGGCCAUUUUUGGUAAGCAGAACUGGCGAUGUGGGAUGAACCAUACGGGGGUUUAAGGUGCCGGAGUGGACGCUCAUCAGACACCACAAAAGGUGUUAGCACAUCUUGACAGCAGGACGGUGGCCAUGGAAGUCGGAACCCGCUAAGGACUGUGUAACAACUCACCUGCCGAAUGUGCUAGCCCUGAAAAUGGAUGGCGCUAAGCGUCCCACCUAUAACCCCCCCUCAGGGUAGGAUCGUCGCCCUGAGGAGUAGGCAGGCGCGGGGGUCCGUGACGAAGCCCAGGGCGUGAGCCCGGGUCGAACGGCCCCUGGUGCGGAUCUUGGUGGUACGUUCCCCCCCCCCUAGAAGCCCCCACCCGGAGGCGGAUGCUAACUCUCGCCAACAGGUAGUAGCAAAUACUUCAAUGAGAACUUGAAGGACCAAAGUGGAGAAAGGUUCCACGCGAACAGCGGUUGGACGUGGGUCAGUCGGUCCUGAGCCAUAGGGAAGUUCCGUUUCAAAGGGGCACUACCGCCCCGUAUGGCGAAAGGGAAGCUGGUCAAGAUCCCAGCACGGGGAUGUGGGUUUUUCGCGGCAACGCAACCAGACUCGGAGACGGCGGCGGGGGCCCAGGGAGGAGUUAUCUUUUCUUCUUAACGGCCCAGCGACCCUGAAA